ACUCAAAGGAAUAGACGGGGACCCACACAAGCAGUGGAUCACGUGGUUUAAUUCGACAAUAAACGGGAAACCUUACCCAGACUUGACAUCUACCGAAUCUUUUAGAAAUAAGAGAGUGCCUUUAUUGGAGCGGUAAGACAGGUGCUGCAUGGUUGUCGUCAGCUCGUGCCUUGAGGUGUUCGGUUAAGUCCGUUAACGAGCGCAACCCAUGUCGUUAGUUAUUAUGUCUAACGAGACUGCCUUGGUUAACAAGGAGGAAGGUGUGGAUGACGUCAAAUCAGCAUGGCUUUUACGUCUGGGGCUACACACAUGAUACAAUGGUAUGUACAAAGAGCAGCAAUAUGGCGACAUUGAGCUAAUCUUGAAAGCAUAUCUCAGUCCGGAUUGAAGUCUGAAACUCGACUUUAUGAAGUUGGAAUUGCUAGUAAUCGUGAAUCAGAUAUGUCACGGUGAAUAUGUUCCUGGGUCUUGUACACACCGCCCGU
rnacentral:rRNA from 1 species